AGAGACGCAGCUGAGACAGGCUGUGUGUCUGCUCUAACCUGUUAACACGAACGCCGAAAUAAAAAACAACAGGUAACGCAGCCAACACGCGCUGCUGACGUUCCUGGUGUGGGCUGUAAACAACCGAGAUCACGCUAAACAGGGGCCUGUUUCACAAAAGCAGAAUAAAGAUUUCCAAAUAAGAGAGAAAGCGAGGCUUGACAUAGUCUAGUCAGUUCAUCCUGGCUUAAUUGGUUUCACAAAGGCCAAGCGAGGCUGAGGAGGAGCGACUAGGUUGAGCCAGGUGUUAUUAAUUCAGAUAGAUGCGCGUUCACUGUUUUCCUCAAUAGACAGACAGGCAGAGACACAUUUUACAAAGGAAGAGUAAACUAUAUCAGACAAAUAUGAAGAAGUUAAACACUUAAUCCAGACUAACAGUAACUCAGCUGAAGCUGCCAAAUGCAGGAAGAACAGCUGGUGAAAGAAAAAACUCCCGAUGUGUGAAUGAUUAAAUUAACAGAUUUAUUAAUUUAACGGAACACUCAAAAGUCAGAUGAAGUUGUCUAGAUAUAAAUAAUUUGUAUCAGUGUAAAGGUUGAGAGUAUUA